GGGUUGUGAGGUUAAGCGACUAAGCGUACACGGUGGAUGCCCUGGCAGUCAGAGGCGAUGAAGGACGUGCUAAUCUGCGAAAAGCGUCGGUAAGGUGAUAUGAACCGUUAUAACCGGCGAUGUCCGAAUGGGGAAACCCAGUGCAAUUCGUUGCACUAUCGUUAACUGAAUACAUAGGUUAACGAGGCGAACCGGGGGAACUGAAACAUCUAAGUACCCCGAGGAAAAGAAAUCAACCGAGAUUCCCCAGUAGCGGCGAGCGAACGGGGAGCAGCCCAGAGUCUGAAUCAGCUUGUGUGUUAGUGGAACGGUCUGGAAAGUCCGACGGUACAGGGUGAUAGUCCCGUACACCAAAAUGCACAGGUUGUGAACUCGAAGAGUAGGGCGGGACACGUGGUAUCCUGUCUGAAUAUGGGGGGACCAUCCUCCAAGGCUAAAUACUCCUGACUGACCGAUAGUGAACCAGUACCGUGAGGGAAAGGCGAAAAGAACCCCGGCGAGGGGAGUGAAAAAGAACCUGAAACCGUGUACGUACAAGCAGUGGGAGCACCUUCGGGUGUGACUGCGUACCUUUUGUAUAAUGGGUCAGCGACUUAUAUUCUGUAGCAAGGUUAACCGUAUAGGGGAGCCGCAGGGAAACCGAGUCUUAACUGGGCGUUAAGUUGCAGGGUAUAGACCCGAAACCCGGUGAUCUAGCCAUGGGCAGGUUGAAGGUUGGGUAACACUAACUGGAGGACCGAACCGACUAAUGUUGAAAAAUUAGCGGAUGACUUGUGGCUGGGGGUGAAAGGCCAAUCAAACCGGGAGAUAGCUGGUUCUCCCCGAAAGCUAUUUAGGUAGCGCCUCGUGAAUUCAUCUUCGGGGGUAGAGCACUGUUUCGGCUAGGGGGUCAUCCCGACUUACCAACCCGAUGCAAACUACGAAUACCGAAGAAUGUUAUCACGGGAGACACACGGCGGGUGCUAACGUCCGUCGUGAAGAGGGAAACAACCCAGACCGCCAGCUAAGGUCCCAAAGUCAUGGUUAAGUGGGAAACGAUGUGGGAAGGCACAGACAGCCAGGAUGUUGGCUUAGAAGCAGCCAUCAUUUAAAGAAAGCGUAAUAGCUCACUGGUCGAGUCGGCCUGCGCGGAAGAUGUAACGGGGCUAAACCAUGCACCGAAGCUGCGGCAGCGACACUAUGUGUUGUUGGGUAGGGGAGCGUUCUGUAAGCCUGCGAAGGUGACCUGUGAGGGUUGCUGGAGGUAUCAGAAGUGCGAAUGCUGACAUAAGUAACGAUAAAGCGGGUGAAAAGCCCGCUCGCCGGAAGACCAAGGGUUCCUGUCCAACGUUAAUCGGGGCAGGGUGAGUCGACCCCUAAGGCGAGGCCGAAAGGCGUAGUCGAUGGGAAACAGGUUAAUAUUCCUGUACUUGGUGUUACUGCGAAGGGGGGACGGAGAAGGCUAUGUUAGCCGGGCGACGGUUGUCCCGGUUUAAGCAUGUAGGCUGGUUAUCCAGGCAAAUCCGGAUAAUCAAGGCUGAGGUGUGAUGACGAGGCACUACGGUGCUGAAGUAACAAAUGCCCUGCUUCCAGGAAAAGCCUCUAAGCAUCAGGUAACAUCAAAUCGUACCCCAAACCGACACAGGUGGUCAGGUAGAGAAUACCAAGGCGCUUGAGAGAACUCGGGUGAAGGAACUAGGCAAAAUGGUGCCGUAACUUCGGGAGAAGGCACGCUGGUGUGUAGGUGAAGCCCCUGCGGGUGGAGCUGAGACCAGUCGAAGAUACCAGCUGGCUGCAACUGUUUAUUAAAAACACAGCACUGUGCAAACACGAAAGUGGACGUAUACGGUGUGACGCCUGCCCGGUGCCGGAAGGUUAAUUGAUGGGGUUAUCCGUAAGGAGAAGCUCUUGAUCGAAGCCCCGGUAAACGGCGGCCGUAACUAUAACGGUCCUAAGGUAGCGAAAUUCCUUGUCGGGUAAGUUCCGACCUGCACGAAUGGCGUAAUGAUGGCCAGGCUGUCUCCACCCGAGACUCAGUGAAAUUGAACUCGCUGUGAAGAUGCAGUGUACCCGCGGCAAGACGGAAAGACCCCGUGAACCUUUACUAUAGCUUGACACUGAACAUUGAGCCUUGAUGUGUAGGAUAGGUGGGAGGCUUUGAAGCGUGGACGCCAGUCUGCGUGGAGCCAACCUUGAAAUACCACCCUUUAAUGUUUGAUGUUCUAACGUUGGCCCCUGACCGGGGUUGCGGACAGUGUCUGGUGGGUAGUUUGACUGGGGCGGUCUCCUCCCAAAGCGUAACGGAGGAGCACGAAGGUUAGCUAAUCCUGGUCGGACAUCAGGAGGUUAGUGCAAUGGCAUAAGCUAGCUUGACUGCGAGCGUGACGGCGCGAGCAGGUGCGAAAGCAGGUCAUAGUGAUCCGGUGGUUCUGAAUGGAAGGGCCAUCGCUCAACGGAUAAAAGGUACUCCGGGGAUAACAGGCUGAUACCGCCCAAGAGUUCAUAUCGACGGCGGUGUUUGGCACCUCGAUGUCGGCUCAUCACAUCCUGGGGCUGAAGUAGGUCCCAAGGGUAUGGCUGUUCGCCAUUUAAAGUGGUACGCGAGCUGGGUUUAGAACGUCGUGAGACAGUUCGGUCCCUAUCUGCCGUGGGCGCUGGAGAAUUGAGGGGGGCUGCUCCUAGUACGAGAGGACCGGAGUGGACGCAUCACUGGUGUUCGGGUUGUCAUGCCAAUGGCACUGCCCGGUAGCUAAAUGCGGAAGAGAUAAGUGCUGAAAGCAUCUAAGCACGAAACUUGCCCCGAGAUGAGUUCUCCCUGAGACUUUAAGUCUCCUGAAGGAACGUUAAAGACGAUGACGUUGAUAGGCCGGGUGUGUAAGCGCAGCGAUGCGUUGAGCUAACCGGUACUAAUGAACCGUGAGGCUUAACCUUACAACGCCGAAG
rnacentral:rRNA from 1 species